rnacentral:lncRNA from 12 species
GAAAGCUUAUGGAGUCAAUAUUGGAGAGGUUCUCUCUUCUUUAGAAGCCAAGAAAUUUAAGAAACUCUUACAAAGAAGUUCAAAAGAUUUGAUGGGCCCAAGCCAAGCCAUUUGGAGGCUGAGGCAAGGGAGGAUGUGUCCUUGAGGCACAGGCUGAAAUGGCUUGACACUUCAUUAUAACUCCUCCAGGCCCUUCAUCUUACAGUUGGGAUUCUUCUGGGAAAUCUAU